rnacentral:rRNA from 1 species
CUGAGAUACGGCCCAGACUCCUACGGGAGGCAGCAGUGGGGAAUAUUGCACAAUGGGCGCAAGCCUGAUGCAGCGACGCCGCGUGGGGGAUGACGGCCUUCGGGUUGUAAACCUCUUUCAGUAGGGACGAAGCGCAAGUGACGGUACCUACAGAAGAAGCACCGGCCAACUACGUGCCAGCAGCCGCGGUAAUACGUAGGGUGCGAGCGUUGUCCGGAAUUACUGGGCGUAAAGAGCUCGUAGGUGGUUUGUCGCGUUGUUCGUGAAAUCUCACAGCUUAACUGUGAGCGUGCGGGCGAUACGGGCAGACUGGAGUACUGC